rnacentral:misc_RNA from 1 species
GGAAAUUGCUGCACUUGUUCAAUCCCCAGGAAAGGUAUUGUGUCAUCGCUCAUGCAAAGUUCAUAGAUUCUCUGAAAACGAAACCUGUAUGACUUCAUCGAAUGUGAUUGAAACCUUUCCUUUACUUCAGCAAGUACAGAUCUGACCGAUGUCAAUUUUGAGUAUUCUGCACCAGAUAGGAACUCCACAGAUGAAUUCUCCAGGAGAUAAAGCUGACCGAAUGGUACAUACAACGGUAAGUAAGGCAUGCGACGCCAACCCCUCUUGUCCCCAUUGUUGACAUUACUUUCAGCUACAGAUUUU